AUUACUUAUAUAGUCUAAUUCACACCGUUAAUAUUAUUCAAAAAGAGUGUUGUAAACCCUAACUCAUCGGCGCUCCUAAUUUCUUUCAACUUUCUCCCUCUCUCCCUUUGCAACGAUGAAGUUUUGGGAUAACGAAUUAUAUUUCUAUUUCAUUAUCUAUACACCCUGUUUCGAUGAAAAAAUUGUAUGCACCGUGAUUUGGUUUUGAUAGCGAUGCAAAUCUCCAAUUUGAUUUACCUUGAUGAUAGUCAUCGUUUUGCUUUUAUAUUAGAGGCUUGAUAUGUAAUGUAUGUUAUUAUCAAUUUUAUUGUCUGUGCAGAUGUGUGUGGUUGGAUCCCAACUUGUGUUUGUCUAAACUAAAAGUGUUGAGGUUAGAAGUGGUGAAGCGUUUGAAGUAAAGCUUCGUCUAGGGAGGUAUUUGCAUAUUAAACAGGUAACAAAAUAAAACCCUUUCUGCAGAUGUACCCAGGAAAAGGAGUGACAUCACAUGGAAUGAUCCAUAAUAUAUAUAGUCCAUAGCAAAUGGGACUUUACUUUUCUUUCUAAAUAAAUUAUUCCUGACGCUUGUCUUAUCUAAAUAAAUAAAGCUAAUUGUGUUUGCUUUUUGUUAUGAGAAGUUUGUUUUGUUAAAUGUUAUUGUUUGUAAUUAGGUUUGUCUUGGAAAAAAUAAGGAGGAAGUAGGUGCGCCUGUUAUUGUGAAAAUUAGUGUUGGAGACAAAGUGGUUGAAGAAGUAACCCUUUACAAUAGGAAGCAACCACUACAACUACUUUUACGGGUGUAUAACAAAAAGUUUGAAAUCUCACACACCUUGAGCAGUGGAAGUGUCCACUUCAUCGGAAGCGUCACUAAAAAACCCAUUUAUAUAUAUGAAUAUCCUUCUCUCAAACUCAAACUCAAACUCAAACAUACGUUCAUACUACUAGCUAGCUGUUUACUAACUUAAUUAGAAGAAUCUUUUUAAGUUUGUAUUGGUUUAACUUUUAAUUUUGGAGUUUGUUGUUGUUGGCUUCUUGACCAAUUUGCCAUCAUGUGAUCACUGUGUUUGAAAGCGAUACAGAGGAAGAGGAAGAGACAACAAAAAGCAUGCAGACUUCAAAUUCAACACCAACUACAAAAGAAUGCAUGGACAUUGUGGAAUGUUUCCCAGGUUUUGAAGAAGAUUCAUUGGGAUAUUUGCAAGCACUGCAUGUCUUCCUAAAGCCGUCUGCUCGUGAGAAUUUUAUGGUUCCAAAGGCUGACACAACUAAGAUGAUGUUUCUUAAGAUGCUUAUACAGGAACAGACAGCAAAUAAUUAAGGAAGAAGGAAAUUAAUAAGGUGGAAGCAAGAAGCAAGUCCUGCAACAGGUAUUGUUUUGCUUUCUCUUAAGAGUCUUUAUAAAUACUACAUGUUAUUUGGGUGUUUGCAGAAGCUGAGACAGAAUGCUACUAUUUCGUUGAGACUUGAGAGAGGGUUGCAGACAUAUAUCAUUCAAGGGUGGGUGAUGAGGGUAGGGUAGGGUAGGGUAGGGUAGUUUCUAAAUUCUAAUAUCAUGGUGUGAUUGAGAGUAUAUACGAAAAAGACAUCAAUCAUAUACUAGUCUCCUGUCUCCUCUUUAUUUAUGUGUUUAUAUAUUAAUUUUGUCGCUAUUCAUUAUGCAUAAAAGAGUACAUAUUUUGGUUAUUAACUGUAAUUUUAUCUGC